rnacentral:rRNA from 1 species
AUUGAACGCUGGCGGCAGGCCUAACACAUGCAAGUCGAGCGGAUGAAGGGAGCUUGCUCCUGGAUUCAGCGGCGGACGGGUGAGUAAUGCCUAGGAAUCUGCCUGGUAGUGGGGGAUAACGUCCGGAAACGGGCGCUAAUACCGCAUACGUCCUGAGGGAGAAAGUGGGGGAUCUUCGGACCUCACGCUAUCAGAUGAGCCUAGGUCGGAUUAGCUAGUUGGUGGGGUAAAGGCCUACCAAGGCGACGAUCCGUAACUGGUCUGAGAGGAUGAUCAGUCACACUGGAACUGAGACACGGUCCAGACUCCUACGGGAGGCAGCAGUGGGGAAUAUUGGACAAUGGGCGAAAGCCUGAUCCAGCCAUGCCGCGUGUGUGAAGAAGGUCUUCGGAUUGUAAAGCACUUUAAGUUGGGAAGAAGGGAAGUAAGUUAAUACCUUGCUGUUUUGACGUUACCAACAGAAUAAGCACCGGCUAACUUCGUG